rnacentral:rRNA from 1 species
GACGAACGCUGGCGGCGUGCUUAACACAUGCAAGUCGAACGGAAAGGCCCUGCUUUUGUGGGGUGCUCGAGUGGCGAACGGGUGAGUAACACGUGAGUAACCUGCCCUUGACUUUGGGAUAACUUCAGGAAACUGGGGCUAAUACCGGAUAGGAGCUCCUGCUGCGUGGUGGGGGUUGGAAAGUUUCGGCGGUUGGGGAUGGACUCGCGGCUUAUCAGCUUGUUGGUGGGGUAGUGGCUUACCAAGGCUUUGACGGGUAGCCGGCCUGAGAGGGUGACCGGCCACAUUGGGACUGAGAUACGGCCCAGACUCCUACGGGAGGCAGCAGUGGGGAAUAUUGCACAAUGGGCGGAAGCCUGAUGCAGCAACGCCGCGUGCGGGAUGACGGCCUUCGGGUUGUAAACCGCUUUCGCCUGUGACGAAGCGUGAGUGACGGUAAUGGGUAAAGAAGCACCGGCUAACUACGUGCCAGCAGCCGCGGUGAUACGUAGGGUGCGAGCGUUGUCCGGAUUUAUUGGGCGUAAAGGGCUCGUAGGUGGUUGAUCGCGUCGGAAGUGUAAUCUUGGGGCUUAACCCUGAGCGUGCUUUCGAUACGGGUUGACUUGAGGAAGGUAGGGGAGAAUGGAAUUCCUGGUGGAGCGGUGGAAUGCGCAGAUAUCAGGAGGAACACCAGUGGCGAAGGCGGUUCUCUGGGCCUUUCCUGACGCUGAGGAGCGAAAGCGUGGGGAGCGAACAGGCUUAGAUACCCUGGUAGUCCACGCUGUAAACGGUGGGUACUAGGUGUGGGGUCCAUUCCACGGGUUCCGUGCCGUAGCUAACGCUUUAAGUACCCCGCCUGGGGAGUACGGCCGCAAGGCUAAAACUCAAAGGAAUUGACGGGGCCCCGCACAAGCGGCGGAGCAUGCGGAUUAAUUCGAUGCAACGCGUAGAACCUUACCUGGGUUUGACAUGGAUCGGGAGUGCUCAGAGAUGGGUGUGCCUCUUUUGGGGUCGGUUCACAGGUGGUGCAUGGCUGUCGUCAGCUCGUGUCGUGAGAUGUUGGGUUAAGUCCCGCAACGAGCGCAACCCUUGUUCACUGUUGCCAGCACGUUAUGGUGGGGACUCAGUGGAGACCGCCGGGGUCAACUCGGAGGAAGGUGGGGAUGACGUCAAGUCAUCAUGCCCCUUAUGUCCAGGGCUUCACGCAUGCUACAAUGGCUGGUACAGAGAGUGGCGAGCCUGUGAGGGUGAGCGAAUCUCGGAAAGCGGGUCUCAGUUCGGAUUGGGGUCUGCAACUCGACCUCAUGAAGUCGGAGUCGCUAGUAAUCGCAGAUCAGCAACGCUGCGGUGAAUACGUUCCC